GGGAGGUAGUGACAAUAAAUAACAAUAUGGGGCCCUCACGGGUUUCGUAAUUGGAAUGAGUACAAUUUAAAUCUCUUAACGAGGAACAAUUGGAGGGCAAGUCUGGUGCCAGCAGCCGCGGUAAUUCCAGCUCCAAUAGCGUAUAUUAAAGUUGUUGCAGUUAAAAAGCUCGUAGUUGAAUUUCGAGAUCAAAUUGUUGGUCGUGCCUCGGUACGCACUGGCAUUAUUGAUUUCUCCCUUCUGACGAUCCGCGAUGUCAUUAGUUUGGUGUCGCGGGGAAUCAGGACUGUUACUUUGAAAAAAUUAGAGUGUUUAAAGCAGGCUCACGCUUGAAUACAUUAGCAUGGAAUAAUGAAAUAGGACGUUUGAUUCUAUUUUGUUGGUUUCUAGGAUCGACGUAAUGAUUAAUAGGGAUAGUUGGG
rnacentral:rRNA from 1 species